UUGGCUAAUUCGUGUACAAAUAUCCUUUUUCGCAAGAAAGAGGAUAGUGUUUAUUAGAUUCAGAACCAAUACACCAUCUGUUAACAGCAGGGGGUGUAAAAAGGGUAAUUAUUAUUACCGGACGGGUUGCCAUAAUGUUCUUUUUAUAUGAUUGGCGAUAGAUCAUUCAAGUUUCUGACCUAUCAGCUUCGACGGUAGUGUAUGAG
rnacentral:rRNA from 1 species